AAGUCGUAACAAGGUAACCGUAGGUGAACCUGCGGUUGGAUCAUUAAAAAUAUUGGGCUCCUGGUAGCAUGGUUCCUUGGUUUUUCCAAUUGGCAACCUGCCGCUCAGAUAGUCCGUGCAGCCUCUGAAUCCAAGCAAGGUGAUGCGUCCCUUCCAUUUGCAAGUUGUAAGUGUUGGGGAUGCUCCAUCAAGCUUGCGAUUCUCAGUGACUAGCUAAACACCUUUUGUGAACUGUUUCGUCCCUGGCGGGGGGGCAUAGCAAUUUAUAUGCUAUGUCUGUCAACAUGUUUUUCAUGUCGUGGACAUCCCGUCAACCCUUUUUUAAAACAUUUUCUAUUUAAACUGUCUGACAUUACUUGUAUCAAAAUACAAAACAACUUUUGGCAACGGAUCUCUUGGCUCUC
rnacentral:misc_RNA from 1 species